GAUGAACGCUGGCGGCGUGCCUAACACAUGCAAGUCGAACGGAGUUAUAUGAAGUUUUCGGACGGAUUAUAACUUUGUGGCGGACGGGUGAGUAACGCGUGGGUAACCUGCCUCUUACAGGGGGAUAACAGUUGGAACCGGCUGCUAAAACCGCAUAACAUUGCGCCGUCGACUGACGAUGCAAUUCAAUAUGUAUAGUUAUGAGAUGGGCCCGCGUCUGAUUAGCUAUUUGGUGGGGUAAUGGCCUAACAAGGCGACGAUCAGUAGCCGGCUUGAGAGAGUGACCGGCCACAUUGGGACUGAGACACGGCCCCAACUCCUACGGGAGGCAGCAGUGGUGAAUAUUGCACAAUGGGGGAAACCCUGAUGCAGCGACGCCGCGUGAGUGAAGAAGUAUUUCGGUAUGUAAAGCUCUAUCAGCAGGGAAGAUUAUGGCGGUACCUGACUAGGAAGCCCCGGCUAACUACGUGCCAGCCGCCGCCGUAA
rnacentral:rRNA from 1 species